CCACACCCUGCCACACUUUAAUAUGGUGUUAGGAGAGGGGUGGUUCUUUCUUCUUGGCCUGCAGCAUCUGACGUAUGUGAAUGUCUCCCAGAAACUGGGAUCUGGGAUCCACAAGGCCCAAGGACCGAAGGGGACCAGUACCCUUAGUGAAGUCGGGGCGCAGGGACCCCGUGAACGAGGUAAAGUGAGAACAGGUUAAAUAAUAUCAGAGCAGGAAAGUGAGUCAGACAGUAUGUAUUUAGAAAGAGCAGCUUUCUUGCUCCAUCCAUGAGAGGAGAGUAAAGGAGUAGUCUUCUAACAGACUUACUUGCCUUUGUUUAGGGACACAGAAGUGCCAGGGAAUAGGCCCAACUUAUGGUGCCCAAACUCUAUAUGAGAGGGAUAAACCGAUGGACACCAUACUUCAACUGUUAGAUGUGCUUUAACAUCAAUUGUAUUGCUGAAAUCCUGUUAUACCUCCUCAAGGGGACACAGAAGUGCCAGGGAAUAGGCCCAACUUACGGUGCCCAAACUCUAUAUGAGAGGGAGAAACCGAUGGACACCAUACUUCAACUGUUAGAUCUGCUUUAACAUCAAUUGUAUUGCUGAAAUCCUGUUAUACCUCCUCAAGGGGACACAGAAGUGCCAGGGAAUAGGCCCAACUUAUGGUGCCCAAACUCUAUAUGAGAGGGAGAAACCGAUGGACACCAAACUUCAACUGUUAGAUCUGCUUUAACAUCAAUUGUAUUGCUGAAAUCCUGUUAUACCUCCUCAAGGGGACACAGAAGUGCCAGGGAAUAGGCCCAACUUACGGUGCCCAAACUCUAUAUGAGAGGGAGAAACCGAUGGACACCAUACUUCAACUGUUAGAUCUGCUUUAACAUCAAUUGUAUUGCUGAAAUCCUGUUAUACCUCCUCAAGGGGACACAGAAGUGCCAGGGAAUAGGCCCAACUUACGGUGCCCAAACUCUAUAUGAGAGGGAGAAACCGAUGGACACCAUACUUCAACUGUUAGAUCUGCUUUAACAUCAAUUGUAUUGCUGAAAUCCUGUUAUACCUCC